rnacentral:rRNA from 1 species
GACGAACGCUGGCGGCGUGCUUAACACAUGCAAGUCGAACGGAAAGGCCCUGCUUGCAGGGUGCUCGAGUGGCGAACGGGUGAGUAACACGUGGGUGAUCUGCCCCUUACUUUGGGAUAAGCCUGGGAAACUGGGUCUAAUACUGGAUAGGACCAUGCUGUAGGUGGUGUGGUGGAAAGAUUAGUUUCGGUAAGGGAUGAGCUCGCGGCCUAUCAGCUUGUUGGUGGGGUAAUGGCCUACCAAGGCGUCGACGGGUAGCCGGCCUGAGAGGGUGGACGGCCAGGUUGGGACUGAGAGGCGGCCCAGAGGCCGGCGGGGGGGAGCAGUGGGGGAUAUGGCACAAGGGGGGCAAGGCUGAUGCAGCGACGGCGCGUGGGGGGUGACGGCCUUCGGGUUGUAAACUCCUUUCAGCCAUGACGAAGCCCUUGUGGUGACGGUAGUGGUAGAAGAAGCACCGGCUAACUACGUG